rnacentral:tRNA from 1 species
ACUUAAAUAGCUUAAUAAGAGCAUAACGUUGAAGGUGUUAAAGUGGUAUUAUAUAUCUUUAAGUU